AUCCACCCGCUCGCCUCGCUACUCGGACCCGAGACGACGACGACGUUCCAUUGUUUCGUUGUCUCCUGGCUCGGGAGCGUGGCACACAGACAGACACGGCUGCGGUAGCGCACGUGCACGCCCGCUCAAUACACGCUAAUCUCUGCACACGUACGAGCAGGUUAGGGACACACACACGGGCGCACACUCGCAGCUAUAAACCGACUAUAUACCGACCGACCAGUCACGCACGAUCUCUCGUUCGUGUAUGAAUGCUGUAGUCCGGUUACCACCGGACCCGAACCCAUCACGGACACACGCCUAACUCAUACUUGCAUGUAUACGCUCUCACACACAAGCUGUUCGCUCGCUCACGAACGAAAAACCUAUCACAGGUCUUUGAAGUACCGAUGAAAAUUUAUUGUACGCCCUUCUUGCCACUUGCUCUUUUCUCCUCGACUUUGCAGUCAUUUCGGCCAAUUUCACGUUCAUGGAAGGGUAUUUACUGCUAGCAGUUUAACACCGGGGACUCCAACGAAGGGAGGACAGAAGAGGGAAGUAGAAUGCGAAGAGAAAUGGUUGAAUGGGUGUAAGAGAGACGAAUAUAUAAAGGGAACUUAAGUGGGUGGGAGCUAAGAGCUAGGUGGAAUACGAUGGAAGGGGAAGAUGAUGUCGAGCAACCGAACUUGACCCUCCGUGGAUCUGCAUUUUCGUUGGUUUGCUUAGCCGACAGAGGAUCUUGAGUUUUUAAUCGGCUGGAAAAAUUAUCGUUCGCUCGACUGGAAAAAGAACGUAUACAAGCAUGAGAUUUAUUAUUGUAAUUUUACAAAUGUCAUUUCUUUGAAAUUAUGAAGAUUGCUGCGAAAGGAAUGCCGUGCCAGCGCUCCGUUAUGAGCUUCUAGAUAUGUACAUUGAAUACGCAUCAAGGAAUUUGUUCUUGCUAGAACCCUGAACUACAUAAUGCUUUUUACCUACAGCCUAUAUUGAAUGAUUUAUCGCAACCAGUCAACUAUGUAACCUUCUACAAAAUGAUAACAGUAAAACUGAACUGCUAAUCUGCAUGUUAACCAGAAAAUGAGAAAGAUUCCGCUAAAAAUAAAAGAAUCAUAAUCUUCUGACUACGUGUCCAGGAUCACGUGCGAGAAGAAACCAUAAUAUAAUGCUUGACAAAUGAGCACGAAAGAAGUUUUGAUAAACGUAACCUGAAGCGGAUCUGAUAACAACUCAUCGUAUUUAGGAAGCUAAUAGCGAACCUACCACGACAACAAAAAGCGUUUAAACACGCAUUCAUUUUUUCCAUUAGCACGUUUUACCAUUCCUUAUUCUGAGUCAGUGCUGUCCACGAAUUGCCCCAUAGUUUACGGGACUUCCCCCAUUUUUUAUGCUUUAUAUUCCUUACUUAGAUAUUAGAACUCGAUACUGUAUUGCACAAACAUACUGUUUACCUAUGCUCUUUAUGAAAUUCAAG